rnacentral:tRNA from 1 species
GCCUCCGUAGUUUAAUGGAUAAAAUUUCUGAUUCCGAUUCAGACAAUAGCAGUUCGAUUCUGCUCGGAGGUG